UAAGUCUGUAGGCACAAAUUUAAUCACAC
rnacentral:piRNA from 1 species